rnacentral:rRNA from 1 species
GACGAACGCUGGCGGCAUGCCUAACACAUGCAAGUCGAACGGUAAGGCUUCCUUCGGGAAGUACACGAGUGGCGAACGGGUGAGUAACACGUGGGUAACCUACCCUUGACUGGGGGACAACCGAGGGAAACUUCGGCUAAUACCGCAUAACGUGCAUUGCCUCAAGGUGGUGUACCAAAGCUCCGGCGGUUAAGGAUGGGCCCGCGGCAGAUUAGCGUGUGGGUGAGGUAACGGCUUACCAAGGCGACGAUCAGUAGCUGGUCUGAGAGGACGAUCAGCCACACUGGGACUGAGACACGGCCCAGACUCCUACGGGAGGCAGCAGUGGGGAAUUUUGGACAAUGGGCGAAAGCCUGAUCCAGCAAUGCCGCGUGUGUGAAGAAGGCCUUCGGGUUGUAAAGCACUUUUGUCCGGAAAGAAAUGGCUCUGGUUAAUACCUGGGGUCGAUGACGGUACCGGAAGAAUAAGGACCGGCUAACUACGUGCCAGCAGCCGCGGUAA